AAUUGAAAACAAAGGGAUGAGAAAGGAGAGGAAGACAUGAUCAGAGAGAGAGAGAAGUGUGGUGGUCUCGGGUGUAGGACUCCUGCUCAAGGACAGAGGAGACCCAGAUCACGGUUUGAUAUUCACUAUGAAUAAUGAAAGAAGAGAAAGAGAGAGAGAGAAGAGAAACAUAAAAGGGCUGGAGAGGUACGUCAAGGGUGAGACUGCUCCCUCUCUACCACUGGGCUGCUUGUGUGUGUGGCUGUGUAUGUGUGUGUGGUUUCCUUGCUGCAGGCGAGGGAGAGAGAGAGGGGGCAGUCUUAACCUCUGCGCCUCGGCUAAUUUUGUUUUUCCUCUUGCCUCUCAAAACCGACACAAGGACUUUAUGGAAAUCAGGCCCUGGCGAUCAAAGGCAGAUAUACCACACAUACAUAUUCACAUGAACUCUGUGCAUCCACUCUGAAACGCUGGGAAACCUACUCAUUCCUGUAGUGGGGUUUUAAAGUCUCGCUGUGGCCAGGUUUCAGUAGUACUGGACUGAAGCUGGCUUAGCUCUGAAACUCAUAAAACGUUGUAUUAUGCUUUAAUCAUAGAACAUAUCUCCAUAACAUAUGUAAACCAGAUCAGCACUAAGUACUGGAGCUUAAAGGUUCUCUUCAUGCUCAGAUCUCGAAAGUGAAUUGAAGUGGCUUACUGGAGGAAUUGUACAAAGUUAAACAUUCAGGAUGUUUAUUUAGCUCUUUCUUUAUUUCUCUGUCUGUCUGUCUGUCUCUGUCACGCACACACGCACUGCUGAGACACCUCUCUGUUCCUCGGAGUCUCCUCUACCACUGCUGAGACACCUCUCUGUUCCUCGGAGUCUCCUCUACCACUGCUGAGACACCUCUCUGUUCCUCGGAGUCUCCUCUACCACUGCUGAGACACCUCUCUGUUCCUCUGAGUCUCCUCUACCACUGCUGAGACACCUCUCUGUUCCUCUGAGUCUCCUCUACCACUGCUGAGACACCUCUCUGUUCCUCUGAGUCUCCUCUACCACUGCUGAGACACCUCUCUGUUC
rnacentral:lncRNA from 13 species